rnacentral:lncRNA from 1 species
UAGAUAGUAAUUAAAUGUUACCAAGUACAUACAAUUGAUAUUUCAAGAGUUAAAGUUUUAAAAUGUCUUGAUAACAAAUAUUCCUAGAAAUUGCCACAUACAUCUACAACAAUCAAUAAUUCAAAAUUCUCUUAAGUAAGGUCUAGAUCUUCAUUACCGCCUCCGUUUUUCAUUUCUACUCUACCUAUAAAAGAGUAUAAAGAAAGUCAUUUUCCCUUCAAGAGAAUCCUAUAUAAAAUUCACUUGGUCCACAAAAUCAAGAGUAAAAAGAAAGUAUAAAAUUCUGCAUUGAACUCCAAAAUUGGAUGGCAAAAUGUUGGUUUUCCCAUAAUAUACGGACAAAGAUAUUCCGGAGAUAAGGCAUCAUCAACACAUAAAAAGAUACUCCCAAGAAUGCAAAAUUUCAAAAAGCAUUUCACAAGAAGUACAAAAAGACACGUCUACCACACGCCAAUUAAUGAGGCAAAUAACUAAAUCAACUUAAAAAGUAAUUUAGAACUCACGUUAACAGAUCAGUGAAGAGGAAAGAUAGUAAAGAUUACAUGUUUCAUUAGGAAACAACCAAGAAUCUCCUUUUAAGAACCCAUCUCAGACGAUAAUGGAAUGCAGUACACAUUUCUAUUUGACAAUAAUGGAAUAAGACUUCUGACAUUAUUUUUCAAAAGUAAAUUGUGCUUCAUGUAUGUAUUAAUAAAACUAAGGUAUCAAACGUACGCUAUUACUCUCAUUAAUGGAGGUUUAAUACUCUUGUACUUGACUUAUUAGCUGGGAAGUCACCUUUAGAUCUAUCUAGCAGCUACGUAAAUUCCUACAGGCAAUGUAUCAACUCCAGAGGAUGGCAAGAUUGAUAACCGAGCAGCCCUGUACUGGAUGCCGCAGCUACGUUAUUCCUACAGGCAAUGUAUCAUCUCCAUAUCUGAUUCAAGCAGCUUUUUAAAGAGCCAAUGGAAAAUUUUCGGAGGCAGAAACGGAAAUAUACAUAUAGCAUCGGCUCACAUGCAAUGGCCAUUUUAAAAUAGACAUCGUUUGUAAUCAGUAAAGCAACGAAUUAUCACAAACACAUAAUAUGCACCUAAACAGAAAUCAUUAAAUCAAAUUGAUAAUUGAGAUUGCGGCGAGUACUGUUGAAGAGAUGCAGGAGAAGAGGGAACAAUGACAAAACAAUUGUUAAGAAUGGGGGACUUUAGAGUAUCCAGUAGAGUAUUGCCAAGGCAUAUUACUCGAUUUUCCAUGGAAGUUCUGCUUAAAUAACUAAUUAUGUUUGAUAUUUGAACCCAAAAUCAUGGCAUAAACUUUAUAGUGUACCCAUCUCAAAUGCCAUUAAAAAGUACUUCAGAGGACAAGAAGUGGGCAAAGCAGAAACAGUUAAAUCACCCAAGAAGUAUGCAAAGCAGAAACAGUUAGAAUAUUCAAAGGACAAAAUGACACAGAUAUUACAUUCUAAGGCAGGACAACUAGAUCUAAAACAGCUGCAAAUAUCGCCCAAAAAACACAGCAAAACAGAUGCAAAUAUUGUUCAGAACAACUAGAUCUAAAACAGCUGCAAAUAUCGCCCAAAAAAAACAGCAAAACAGAUGAAUGUGAAAGAAAUUAUGUGUAACAAGAGCUAUCCAACAAAUUUGUUGUGAUGCAACCAUCAUCCUCCAUAAACAGUUCAACCAGAUUGAGGUCACUACUCCCUAGAAUAUUUUGGUUACACAAGCUGAAAGGGCUACUCUGCAGAUGAAGAUAAUCAAAGUACUAUGGAAAUUUUCCCUUAGAAAGCGCAACUAAAAUAAGUACAGAUGCUAGUACUACCUUUUAGAAGCAGAUGUCAGAAGCUACAGGCUAUGUUGAGACAUCAACCAGCUGCUUAAACUGCUGAUUCUAAAACUACAGCUGGUAAACAAACUUUAUCCAUGAUGUCGUCGGCAACAAAACAACCAAAAGGAGGGGCUGACCACACAAGAGAACAACAUGAAGACACGAUGAGGGAAGACGAGUUAAGUGAUGAACCUGUCCAGAAUUUAAACGAGCUAAACACUCAAGGAUCUGCUUCGUUAACACGACAAGGUGGCAUAGCAAAGGAAGGAGCAAGUAGCAUUUAGAUUUUAGAUUCAUAUUUCAAUUUUUCCCUCAAUCUACAAUCAUAAUACUUCUUUCAACAACAACAACAUACCUAAUGAAUUCUUACAAGGCGGGGUCUAGUGAAUUCUGCGUUUUGAUCAAGCAGCAUAAAUAUAUUGAAAAUAGGCAUAAUUAUAAGAACAUAAAUCUCAUUCUAAUUGGCAAAAGUAUAAUUGAAAGUCGCUAUCACUACAAGUAAGGAAUUUUAAUUCCCUUUAAGUUGCAAAUGUAGCAGUUAAAAGUGUUCCAAGCUUAAACUUUUAUCCUGCACCUUUAUCUAAUUAAAAUCUAAACCACAAAUUAUCUAUUAAUGCUACGACCAUUUCCAGCAGCCAAAAGGACAUAACAACUCCAAUAAUAACAGUUCCACAACCAAUAAUUUUGUAAUGGAAAUUAUUUUCAGACCCGAACAAAAAUAAUUACAAUAGCAGAAAAUGCACUUGAAAUAGCAGAAAUCAACAGAUUCUGCAAAGUAGAUCUUUAGCUCCCAUUCUUUUCCACGCCAAUAAGUUUCCCAAGUAUUGAAACAUGUCUGCUCUUUCUAACUAGAUGCUCACGACCAUUGUUCCAAAUAGUUCCCAAUUUUUUUCCAAGGACAGUCAAUUAAUCGGGUUAAUAAACAAAAUAAACAUGAAUUUCGACAAAUCGAUAGGAAUACGACAGAUAUGAAAAACCAUAUAAAAGGGGAAACCACAUUAUAUGCAGCUGAAAAAAAUAGUACGAGUUAAAAAAUUUAAUUACUGUAAGAAAUAAAAUAUAAAAACAACAGUUACCAAAUCAAAAAAUAUUAAGAGUUUGAGAAAAUAAUACUCAAGAAGAGCUGCAGAUUACCCGAAUUACACGUACAAAGUAGAAACACGCUGAACUAGUAAAUAAGUAGAAACUCGAUGUUAGGGCUUUUGAAAGGAAAAUGAAUUUUGAGUAAUUGAGCAAACAGAGAGGAAAUGAAAAUGAAAAGUAAAAUAAUACUCCAGAAAACUUACGGAGAGCGAGUGAGUCGGUAAUGGCGCUGACAAUCGAGAAGAGCUGUUGACUAGAGGAGAUCGUAUUGGAGGAGACAGUAAUUUGGAGUUGCUCUAAUGGCUAUCUUCUGCAGCUUUUUGACCGCCUUUUGACUAAGAUUUGGACCGAUUUUCAGAGGUGAUUGUUUUGAGGUCUUUUUUACUGAUUUCCCCUGGGGAAUUUGGGGGUGGUUUUUGACUGAUUUCAAGGUGAUUUGGGGUAGUUUUUGCUGAUUUCAAGGUGAUUUGGGGUAGUUUUUGCUGAUUUCUGGUGGUGAAGAUUCCGAUCUCCUUGUAAUUUCUGAUAGUGAGCUUGUACCCUAAUUUGAUAGUGAAGGUGGAGUAUAGUGGUGCCCUUGUACAAGAACAAAGGGGACAUUCAGUGCUGCAACAAGUAUAGGGGUAUCAAAUUAAUAAGUCACACCAUGAAGGU